GACGAACGCUGGCGGCGUGCUUAACACAUGCAAGUCGAACGGUAAGGCCCUUCGGGGUACACGAGUGGCGAACGGGUGAGUAACACGUGGGUGAUCUGCCCUGCACUUCGGGAUAAGCCUGGGAAACUGGGUCUAAUACCGGAUAGGACCACUGCCUGCAUGGGUGGUGGUGGAAAGCUUUUGCGGUGUGGGAUGGGCCCGCGGCCUAUCAGCUUGUUGGGGGGGUGAUGGCCUACCAAGGCGACGACGGGUAGCCGGCCUGAGAGGGUGACCGGCGACACUGGGACGGAGAUACGGCCCAGACUCCUACGGGAGGCAGCAGUGGGGAAUAUUGCACAAUGGGCGCAAGCCUGAUGCAGCGACGCCGCGUGAGGGAUGACGGCCUUCGGGUUGUAAACCUCUUUCAGCACCGACGAAGCGCAAGUGACGGUAGGUGCAGAAGAAGGACCGGCCAACUACGUGCCAGCCGCCGCCGUAA
rnacentral:rRNA from 1 species